UACAGAGGGGGCAAGCGUUAUUCGGAAUUAUUGGGCGUAAAGGGCGCGUAGGCGGCCUGGCAAGUGGAAGGUGAAAUCCCUCGGCUUAACCGAGGAACUGCCCUCCAAACUGCUUGGCUUGAGUCCGGGAGAGGUGAGUGGAAUUCCCAGUGUAGCGGUGAAAUGCGUAGAUAUUGGGAGGAACACCAGUGGCGAAGGCGGCUCACUGGACCGGAACUGACGCUGAGACACGAAAGCGUGGGUAGCAAACAGG
rnacentral:rRNA from 1 species